rnacentral:sRNA from 1 species
AGAAUAUCACUGGAAAAACUUUUUGUAACUGCGUGUUGGUUGGGCCUUGAAGACUGCCUUCAGCUGUCAAAAGAACUUUUCGCAAAAUGGGUGGACCAUCCAGAAAAUGAAAUACCUUAUCCAAUUAAAGAUGUGGUUUUAUGUUAUGGCAUUGCCUUGGGAAGUGAUAAAGAGUGGGACAUCUUGUUAAAUACUUACACUAAUACAACAAACAAAGUAGAAAAGAUUCAACUUGCUUAUGCAAUGAGCUGCAGCAAAGACCCAUGGAUACUUAACAGAUAUAUGGAGUAUGCCAUCAGCACAUCUCCAUUCACUUCUAAUGAAACAAAUAUAAUUGAGGUUGUGGCAGCAUCUGAAGUUGGCCGGUAUGUCGCAAAAGACUUCUUAGUCAACAACUGGCAAGCUGUGAGUAAAAGAGCACUCAUGGGCAUGUGUCUCACACUGACACGCAGGCAAGCUCACAGACAUCAUCUCCACACCAAGGCACAUGCUGGAGCUGAGUACAUCACCAAUAGCAGUGCAGGAACCGCUGUUCCUUUCAGCCAGGCCCAGAAUUCUUCCUAGGAAGCCUACUCUGGAAAUACAUUUUGGAAUAUUUGAUUAAAGAAAACAACUUUUGGCUUG